GUGUCAGCAGCCGCGGUAAGACGAACCGUCCGAACGUUAUUCGGAAUCACUGGGCUUAAAGGGUGCGUAGGCGGCGCGGAAAGUUGGGUGUGAAAUCCCUCGGCUUAACCGAGGAACGGCGCCCAAAACUACCGUGCUCGAGGGAGAUAGAGGUGAGCGGAACUUAGGGUGGAGCGGUGAAAUGCGUUGAUAUCCUAAGGAACACCGGUGGCGAAAGCGGCUCACUGGAUCUCUUCUGACGCUGAUGCACGAAAGCUAGGGUAGCGAACGGGAUUAGAAACCCUCGUAGUCC
rnacentral:rRNA from 1 species